UCUUGCAUUGUUGUUUUGGUUGUUGCCGGUCGUGGUUGCGCGUCUGCGGUGUCCUUAAAGUGGAUCCUCAGCCAUCCGUAAUCGAUGAUUUCGUUUUCGGAUUGGACGAUCGAUCGAUCGUUGAUUUCGUUUUCGGAUUGGAUGAUCUGUUUCCGAUAGAGGGCUUCACAAUUUUGCCGGAUUAAGGCUAUUUGCGACAGAUUUUAUAUGUACUUUCGAAGCGGUAGGUGAGGCUGUGGUGUUUGUGUGGGUAUUAUCUUAAUGGAACCCUCGCGGAGUCUGUGAGGCAAUUUGUGAAGGUUGCUCUGGUAUGCGUUGCACGAUUAAAUAUUUUUUCCAUUAGAUAGUGUUCUAUUUAAGGGGUUUCCUUACUGUAAUGAACGCUGCUUAUUAUCAUGGAUGCAGGUUUUCCGAAAUGAUCUAAACAAGGGAUGUGUCCUUUUUGAUCUGGUUUAGUUGGCCUUCGUUACUUUCAACUUUUAUUUGUUGCAUUUAUGUCCACCAGUUGGUUAUGUUUGUUUGUUUUUAUUUUUUGUGUGCAAGGGAAAGCUUCUGGAUAUGAUAUUUGAAAGAGAGAUGUGUGUGUUUUGCUACCAUGCUAUGAUAUUUGGUUUGAGAUAUACGCUAACGGUAUCAGCAUCAAUGCUGUGUCUUUUGGAUACUCUAGUUGGAUUUAGACGGGUAUCAGGGAAGAGUUCCAUCAUCUUCUCAUUUUUUGAGGGGAAGCUGAUGGACAUCUAGUUUUGCAUGAGCAUGGGACAUUUUUUUGAAAGUGAGAUGGUUUUUGUGUGCAGUUGCAGAAGCAUCAGUAUCAGCAUUAGCCAUAAGCCUGGUUAUUAGGAUUAUGACCUUUCUUGAAUAGAAUUUUUGGAUUUAAAUUGGGUAUAUGGAAGGUUAUUUUGUUUGCCUAUUUGGUUUAUUACAUCCAGUUGUAUUCUUGGCUGCUCUUUCCAGAUGAAAUUUGGAUUUUCUGUCCUGGUUUUCUACAAUUAGUUAUGACGUUUGGUAGCAGGAUUUUAUUUUGGAGUUAAUACAUUUCUAAAUUGGGUUAAUUACAUCCUUUGGUGUUCUUGGCUGGUUGUAUUAGAGGAAGUCAGAUAAUUUUGUUGAAUAACUUGAAUUCUGUGAUCAUUAUUUCCAUUGGCGUCAUUGCUGUUCAUUUAUUGCCAAAAUGCAGUCCAACAGUGCAAAGUUGUUACAUUUGAAAGCUUUUUUUGGGAGCUGGAUUUCAUGUUAAGAAAGUUGGGUUUCUCUUCAGUAUGGAGCCUUCAUAUUGUAAACAAAGGAGUCCAAUUUUCAUCAAGGAAUAUUCUUGUGGGAACCCAAUUGCUAAUUGAAUAUAUUUCCUUUAUGAAGAUUCUUCAACCAUAGCUGAUACAAACAAGUUUACAAGAUUGUUGUUUUGGUUUGCAUGAUGAAGAGAAUAGAAGUUCUACCUGUACUCCUGGUGAUGUGAACAAUGUAGUUGGAACAUCUACGGAAAGCCUAGCAUGAUUAAACAGAAAUUCAUGGGAAAGAUUUUAUUGGCUUUAACUGGUUUUCCCAGGAUUAACAUUAGAUUGAAAAGCUUGGAACUGACAUUUGAAUUGAUCCACUAGUACCUGUUGCUAUUCCCCAUGAUGUUUGCAAGUUUUGGUUCGAUUUUGUUCUUUUCCUGUGUGUACAUGUUUAUAUGGUUCAAAGAACUCUGGAAGGUUGUGUUUGGUUGAAAGGGGGCGGUGCAUUUGGAUUGAGAUUAGCAAAUUGAAAAGAUUGGAAAAUGACUUUUGAUUGAGAUUAGGGCAUUGAGAAGGUUGGAAAAUGAUUCUUUAGUUGAUUCGCAAGUCUCAGUAGCUAUUACCGGUGAUGUUCUGCAAUUUAUGGAUGGAUUUUGUUUUAUUUUCCUGUGCCUACAUAUUUGUAUGUUCCAAAGAACUUUGGAAGUUCUGUUUUUGGUUGAAAACAUGGUGCAAUGGGAUGUUGUAUCUAUUACGCAAAUUGGUUGUACCAAAAAUUAUUGUGGACUAGUACUCAGAUUUUGUCAUAAGGUAUCAGAUCAAGGUUUUUGA